UUUUUUUGCUUCUUAGUGGAAGUUCCCAGGCUAGGGUUCAAAUCAGAGCUACAGCUGCCAGCCCGCAUCACAGCCACAGCAACUCGGGAUCAAGCUGUGUCUGUGACCUACACCACAGCUCACAGCAACACAGGAUCCUUAACCCACUGAAGGAGGCUAGGGACAAACCCAAACUAAUGGAUAUUAGUUGGGUUCGCUACUGCUGAGCCACAAAGGGAACUCCUAACUCUUCUCUUUAAUAAAUGUUUUUAUCAUUUUUCAUAUUUUUCCCAUUAUCGUUUAUUAUAGGAUAUUGAAUGUACUUCCCUGUGAUAUACAAUAGGACCUUGUUUAUCUAUUCUAUAUAUAAUAGUUUGCAUCUGCUAAUUCCAAACUCCCAGUUCAUCCCUCCCCCACCCCUUUUCCCCUUGGCAACCACAAGUCCGUUCUCUAUGUCUUUUGAGUCUGUUUCUGUUUCGCAGAUAAAUUCAUUGCGUCAUAUUUUAGAUUCCACAUACAAGUGAUAUAUGGUAUUUGUUUCUCUCUUUCUGACUUACUUCACUUGUUUAAUACACAGCUUUACUAUAAGCCUCAGCCCCCAUUAAGAAAUAUGCAGACUAGGAGUUCCCAUCACGGCACAGCAGAAGCAAAUCUGACUAGGAACCAUGAGGUUGUGGGUUCGGUCCCUGGCUUUGCUCAGCAGGUUAAGGAUCUGGCAUUGCUGUGAGCUGUGUGUAGGUAGCAGAUGAGGCUCAAAUCUGGCAUUGCUGUGGCUGUGGUGUAGGCCGACAGCUGCAGCUCUGAUUUUGAGCCAUAGCCUGGGAACUUCCAUAUACCUCAGGUGUGGCCCUAAAAAGAUUAAAAAAAAAAAAAAAAAAGUUUAAAAAUCCUCAAAAGGAUAGGUUGCAUGGACCCAAUGAGGAACAAAGAGGGAGAAUAAAUUGAACGUGAGCCACAAUCAGUAAAAUGAGGUCAUUAAAUCCCCAAGAGAUGAGAUCAGGUUAGUUACACUUACAAAAAUCACCUUCUAUCCUAAAGAACAAGUACCUUUAAGAAAAAUAACUGACAUGGGCAGAUGUUAUUUAAAACUUUACAGAAAUUGAGCACUUAGGUUUUUACAAAACAUCGAUUCAGAGGUAUUGAUUUUUUAAAACAGGCAACACAUAACCAAAGCAUCCUGUCCAUUUGGCAUCUAUCUUAACCUGCCUGGAGAAAAAAAAAAAAAACAAACAAACAACAACCAAAAAAAACACUAACUGAGGGUUUCAGGAAUGACUCAUACAUCAAGGUGACUUUUUAAAGUUUAUCUGAAGGCGGCCAGACAAUAAUGAUUAUGUGAGCCAUCCGUCCCCACGUCCCAACGUUCUACUCUAGAUUCAGAUGACACAGGCCCUAGCAUCAACCUCAGACUUGCACAGCUAAGGAUGCCCAGAAUGCAGGUUUCCACCUAAGUAAUCCCAUGCAGACUAGAAGUUUAACUUGAAGGUACCAAACAGUGUUGACAGGAAAAAGUAGAAAUAUAAAAAUCACUAUCCAGAAGUUCUCACUGUAACUGACUAGUAUCCACGAGGAUGCAGGUUCGAUCCCUGGCCUCACUCACAGGUUAAGGAUCCAGUGCUGCUGCAAGCUGUGGCAUAGGUUGCAGAUGCAGCUUGGAUCUGGCAUUGCUGUGGCUGUGGUUAGGCCUGAAGCUGCAGCUCAAAUUUGACCCCCUAGCCUGGGAACUGCCAUAUUGCACAGGUGAGGCCCUAAAAAGAAAAAAAAAAGAAAAAUUACUAUCCAAAACAAAUCUUUUAUCAGGUCAGUGUUUAUGAAAUAUUGGUAGCAUUUGAUAAGAGAGAUGAGUUGUACAGUACCAUCACAGAGACAUCCAACCCUGAACUGUCUCAUUUACCUCCUUCACAUCCAGCUAGGAUUAAAAAGAAAUCUUUUCGAUGACACAUCAUAU
rnacentral:lncRNA from 1 species